CUGCUCCAAGAGGAAGACAAAUUAGCCACAGCAGAAGACAAAAGCUAAUCGUGACAGUGCACCCUCUAAACAGGAAAUCUAAGCUUCGGGAACAGUACUUAAGGCCACCUAGAGUCCCUGCGGUCUAUAAAAUAAAAGUCAGAGCUCUCUGUCUCCUCAUCUAAAGAGCAAACUUCUCUCGAAACAAAGGAGCAAGAAGAAUUAGACCAGCACAUCAGUGAGUAGUCCACAUUUGUGCUUUGGGCAGAAAAACGUCGGAAUUUAUACAACGAUCAGGCUGGUUCUAAGUGGAGCGCUGAAGAUUAUGGUUCUAAGGACCAGAGACGUACAUGAUGGCUCUGCUCAUCCCAAAUACAUGUCACUGCAGAGAACCUCUGAUCGUGGUUUAUGUUGACAAUGACUUGAUGAGAAAAAA